CCUACGGGAGGCAGCAGUGGGGAAUAUUGGACAAUGGGCGAAAGCCUGAUCCAGCCAUGCCGCGUGUGUGAAGAAGGCCUUCGGGUUGUAAAGCACUUUCAGUGGGGAAGAAAGCCUUGGGGCUAAUACCCUCGAGGAAGGACAUCACCCACAGAAGAAGCACCGGCUAACUCCGUGCCAGCAGCCGCGGUAAUACGGAGGGUGCGAGCGUUAAUCGGAAUUACUGGGCGUAAAGCGCGCGUAGGCGGUCUGAUAAGCCGGUUGUGAAAGCCCCGGGCUCAACCUGGGAACGGCAUCCGGAACUGUCAGGCUAGAGUGCAGGAGAGGAAGGUAGAAUUCCCGGUGUAGCGGCGAAAUGCGUAGAGAUCGGGAGGAAUACCAGUGGCGAAGGCGGCCUUCUGGACUGACACUGACGCUGAGGUGCGAAAGCGUGGGUAGCAAACAGGAUUAGAUACCCCAGUAGUC
rnacentral:rRNA from 1 species